GCACUCCGGCGUGAGUGAAGAAGGCCUUCGGCUCGUGAACUUCUGUUGUUGGAGAAGAACCGUGUGAGAGUCACUGUUCAUUCCAUGACGGUAUCCAACCAGAAAGUCACGGCUAACUACGUGCCAGCAGCCGCGGUAAU
rnacentral:rRNA from 1 species